CCUACGGGAGGCAGCAGUGAGGAAUAUUGGUCAAUGGACGAGAGUCUGAACCAGCCAAGUAGCGUGAAGGAUGACUGCCCUAUGGGUUGUAAACUUCUUUUAUAUGGGAAUAAAAUGUUCCACGUGUGGGAUUUUGUAUGUACCAUAUGAAUAAGGAUCGGCUAACUCCGUGCCAGCAGCCGCGGUAAUACGGAGGAUCCGAGCGUUAUCCGGAUUUAUUGGGUUUAAAGGGAGCGUAGGUGGAUUGUUAAGUCAGUUGUGAAAGUUUGCGGCUCAACCGUAAAAUUGCAGUUGAAACUGGCAGUCGUGAGUACAGUAGAGGUGGGCGGAAUUCGUGGUGUAGCGGUGAAAUGCUGAGAUAUCACGAAGAACUCCGAUUGCGAAGGCAGCUCACUGGACUGCAACUGACACUGAGGCUCGAAAGUGUGGGUAUCAAACAGGAGUAGAUACCCCAGUAGUC
rnacentral:rRNA from 1 species